GAAUAUGAAAAUUCCCAAGAAUACCUCAUCAAUGUCACUGGAUGUGGGUGGACGUGGCUCAACCACAGUACCUGUCAAGAUACUUUUGCUCGUCCGUUUUCAGUAAUUGUACAGAAAACGUGAAUAAAAUUACCCUAAAAGCCAAGAUCGCUGACAUUGAGAGUGAAGAAGUAGUUUUUCCCACAUCUGUAGAUUACAAUAAUCGCUACUUUAGAGCUGCUGUUAACCAGUUGUCUAGAUGCCAAAUUCAUGUGCAGUGUUUACCCAUGAGAGGAGAUGUUAAUAUACAUCAAAUGUGUACCAUUAGAUACACUGCAGAUCCGGAUUAUGGAAAUGCUGUCACAACUCUAGUUGGCACAGCACCAGCUGUCUCACUUUCACUUACUCCUGGUACCAUAUACUACUUUGAGUUCUCCAUGUUGAUGAAUGAGACCCUGUUGAUUGUGGAACGAAUAGAGUACAUGAUUACAAGAUUGGGAGAGUUGUUCCAGCUGGGUGUAAGAGAGGGUGCUGUCCUUACUAUUGUAUCAUCAUUCUUAGGAUGCUUUAUUGUGCACACUACAAUUAUGUGCCUUUUAAUAGCUCGGAAUGCUAAC